rnacentral:misc_RNA from 1 species
GUAUAGGUUUAAUGACUGCUUGCGCAAUCGUUAAAAGACAUUCUGUAACUUUAUAGUGUAUAUGAAAACAUAGCCUUUGAAAAAGCAAAAGCAAGGCAGGAGAAGGGCUUGCACCCAGUCCCCCAAACCGCAUUGCUGCGAGAGAGUUCACUUUGCUUUUCAAAGACUACAAAAGGUGCACAAGAGAAGAUAAAUAGUAUGGAACGAGCACAUGCUCAGUGAAGAGCCAGCAUCAGAACCAACGUAUUCAAUAAUGAUCCUUCCGCAGGUUCACCUACGGAAA